GUGAAGGAGAGAGAAAUAUAUUUUGAAUGUGGAAUUCAACAACCAAAUUUUAUAACCAAGUCAUAGAUGGCAGAUAAACUUAUCCUUUGGUUGAAUGCUUUUUCCUAGAUGAUCUUGGGUAGGUAAAAAAUAUAUAUAACAAAACUGCAUUGGCAAUGGGGGUUGGAAGAUCCAAUGUUUUUAUUUCAGCAAUUAAACUCCUGAUGAAUAGCAUACUAUAUCAUAAAAUGUUGGCUUUUUAAAGCAGGUUUGAACCUUUACACAAUCUGUUUUAACACUGGCAUGCAUACCUGUAUACAUAUAUACUGAGAUGGUUCUAAUUCUCAAUUUAAAAAAUUUGAUACAACUAAAAUGUUAAAUGUACACUAUAAUGAAAACACUGCUGUAACACCAACCAGAUGGCUUGUAUUCCUUGAAAAAUUAUUUAAAGCAUUUGACUUAGAAUGAUGACUUCAUUAUUUAAAGAAAUUCUUCUAACUGUAAAUAAAGGCAGCUCUUUGGCCUAGUGCAAUGUAUCCUUAAUUUGCCUAAUCCUAAGAAUCACUGAGGUGCUUGCUUAUUAAGCAUAUGAGUCUCCAGGGUCCAAUCCAGUCCUUCUGUAUCUUAAUUUCUACAGGCAAAGGCAGGAAAGUGCACUGACCCAGGUAGUUCACAUGAUCAAGUUCCAAACUCAUCUAAGUAAACUCCCACCUAUUUUAGCAAAGAGGCUUUGGAAAGUUGAUUUUUUUUUUUUAAAGCGGGUAGAAUUCGUUCAUUUGAUCAGUUUUAACUUUUUAAAACAUUUUAUACGAAACACUUUUCAAAUCAUAGUUCUAUGUUCAAUGCCACAAAGACGUAUCAUGUAUGACAACCAAAUGUAAGGAUCAAUCCCUUCUUGCCAAAUUUGAACAUGAAAGUGACAAUCGAUGUUCCUGUCUAAAUGUCACCAAGCAAUCAUUUAAAAAAUGCUUUACUAAAACUAUAUAUUCUGAAAGAGUCAAAGCUGAUAUUGACCCAAGUAGAUUUUUUUUAGAAAUCUCUAUAGUCUAGAAAUAUAGGAACUGACUCGAGGUUUUUAUGAAAUCUUCAGUUGCAAAAACCUACAUGGCUUUUACAGGUGGUGAAAAUAUG
ensembl:lncRNA